rnacentral:lncRNA from 12 species
AGAUCCUGAUGAACGUAGGUAUAAGUCUUCUGUAAUCUAAAUUAGAAAAACGAUCAAAUGGUGAACCCAAAUAUAAGAUGGAGUAAGCCUUGUCUAACUGGUAUCAGUACCAAGACAUAAUGUCUUGGAAGCCAACUAACUGGAUAUACUAACUGACCAGAAAUUCCCCCUGCAUUCUGUUUCAUUUAUUUAACAAAUUUAAGCAGUAGUUACUGGGUAUAGGUGCCACUCUGUUUUGCAAAUACUAGUUCAUUUAAUCUUUUACAAGAGUCCUAGAGUUCACUACAAACAUGAUCCCAUUUUAUGGAUGAGGAAAUUGAAGUACAGAGAGGUUAAGAAACUUGCUUGGGUUCACCCAGCUACUAAGUGGUGAAUCUGAACUCAAACCCAGGCAGUCUUGUUCCAGAAUCAUGUCUCACAGGGGAAGAAAAACAGAAGAUCUCAAGGAAAGCAAAUAUCAAGGAAACAGACAUACUUUAAAAGUAAAUUUCUGCUUUAGGAUUCGUUUAUUGUUUCCUUUCCCAGCUAAGGUAUCCAUAAUAAUGACUAUUAAAUUUCACUUUAGCUAAUAUUGCUUGAAGCCCUACUAUGGACCAAGCAUUGUGCUGUUUCUUCCAUGCAUUUGUUCACAUUUUAUGCUACAGCUGUUUAGUUACUUAUCUUUAUCCUCCUUUCACAGAUUACAACACUGAGGCUUAGAGAAAGAAUAGAAAGCCCAGAACCACAUGGAUGUGUAUGAAGAAUCAUGAUUGGAACUACCUGCUUUUGGACCUCAUGCUACUUACGUAAACUCUAUCCACUCAGUGUUAGACAACAAUCCAACGGCAGAUCUACAACAGCUGCUUCAGCAGGUGCUGUGACCAUCUCCAUAUCACAGGUGAGCAGACUGAGGCACAUAGAGGUUAAGUAACUUGCCCAGGGUUACACAGCUUAAUGAAAGACACACCCCCCUAAUUGACUGAUCCAGGGCUGGAGAUACCUUUCUCAUCAGGCCAGUCCAGUAGCUUAUUUCCCUGCUAGCAGGGGAAGGGAAGGGAGAUAGAGGUGAGACACCUUGAAGCUCUCAGAAGGAUCUUGGACACCAGCUGGGCAGUGGCACUUUCCGGGGUCCCCCCACCCCAUUCUGCUUUUCCCAAACUCUGGCUGUUCAGUUCUGCCUUUGAUUCUGUAAGCAUCCUACUAUCCUUCCAGAAAGCUUUCCCCUUUUGUUUUUCAGUUAGUUAUAAUCAGAUUUGUGUUUUGUUUUGUUUUUUGAACUCAUGAACCUGAGGUAAUGUGGGGCUUGAACUCAUGACCCUGAGGUAAUGAUCUGAGCAGAGAUCAAGAGUCAGAUGCUUAACUGACUGAGCCAGCAAGGCGCCCCU